UUGAAAUCCAUGCUUCUUCUCCCACGUUUUCUGUAGCCAAAUUAUUAUCUAUGUGUCCGGCUCUCUGAAAUUGCAGGGUUAGCCACGGAUGUACAGACAAGCCCCGCAACUAGUGGAAGGAGCAGUGCCAGUGGCACAAGAUUGUUUCAUCAGUGGAACUGGAAGAGCAGCAGGACCAUGUCCAGUCCAGCGGUGUGAGCAAUGUUGUUGGCCAGGAAGGAAAGUUAAGCCAUUUCCUGGCUGAAACUGCCUCCGCCGAGGGGCCACUGGACGAGGAGAUUCAUCGUUUCGGUCAAGACACAGAAAUCAUGCCCCGUCCGUCCGUCGAUGAGGCCGCUGAGGAAGCCAGUCCACUCAAGAGACUGAAAUGAUGCCAUUGCCCGUGGAAGUUGGGGAGAUUCAUCAGUCCAGUGAAGAGACUGAAGAAGUGGUGCUCGUUGAGGAAGCUGACAAGAUUCACAGGUCCAGUGAAGGGACAGAAAUGGUGCCCGUUGAGGAAGCCGGCAAGAUUCAUCAGUCCAGUGAAGAGAUGGAAGUGGCGCACAUCACCAAGACUGCAGCUCAACUCCACGCCAAAAUCAAGUGAGGCCAAUGAGGAGGAGGAAGCUGAGGAGGUUCAUCAUUCCGGUGAAGAGACUAAAAUGGUCUCCAUCGACGAGGCGGUGCUGCAGGCCACACCGAAAUCCUAUUCCUGUCUGUAGAUACAUGGGCGCAGCCAAAACCCAAUGAGAAAAAGGAACAUCUGGUUGUUGAUGAGGUGCAGCAUAGCAUGGAUGAGUCUGUUGCAGAGGAGGAGAAUGAAGUGCCAUUCUUUGGUGCUCUGUUUCAGAGCGCAACCAAGUCAAGUGAGAGCAAGAAAGAUCUGCUUGUUGAUGAGUCUGUUGCAGUGGAGGAGAAUGAAGUGUCAUUCUUUGGUGCUCUGUUUCAGAGCGCAGCCAAGGCCAAUGAGAACAAGGAAAAUCAGCAAGUUGAUGAGGUGCAGCAUAACCCAGAAGAGCCUGUUGAAGAGGAGGGAGUGAUGGUCACCGACAAGGUUUCACAGAGGAUGGAUGUGGACGUGGUCACCCUCGAGAACCUCUCGCAAGCCACAGUAGCCGAUGCAGUCAAGGAGAGUGCCUUCGCAGAUGUGUCCUUUGAAGAGGAGGUGGUGGUGGCCGCCGAUGACGGAGUGGUUUUACCGGUGACCUCACAGAUGUGUCCGUUGAAGAGGGCGAAGUGGUGGCCGCCGAGGUGUCACACAGCUCGGCCAUGGUGGAUUAGACUGUUGAGGAAGUGGUCACCGUCGAGAACCUGUCGCGGGCCACAGUGACAGAAGGCGAAGGGGUUGACAAGCAGAGUGAUUUCACCGGCGACCUCUCACAGGCCGUCGACGCUGUCAGAGACUGCAGUAAUCACAUCACUUCUUCGCCGCUGUUUGCAGGCUUGUUUGAGGAACCAGCGGUGUUUCAGGAGAGUGCUGAGUUAAGUCGUCACCGUCAACAACCUGUCGCAAGCCACAGCAACAGAUGACUUCGCAGAUGUGUCCGUCGAAGAGGAGGAAGUGGUGGCCGCCGCUGACGAGAUGCCAAAGAGCCCAGAAACAUUGGAAGAGAAUGUUCAGGAAGCAGCCACCGUCGACAACAACCUGUCACAAGCCAAAGUAACAGAUGACGAAUGGGCAGUCAAGGAGAAUGCUUUCGCCUGCUCACCGGUUUUCGACGAUGCCGGAGACUGCCGUGGUCAGUGGUCAUGUUUUCCAAGCUUGUUUGAGGAUGCCACCAAGUCCCUAUCCACGGACUCCAUCACCGUGGAGGCAACAACGGUUCCUGAAGCUGCUGCUGCGAAGAAAGUUACUGAACCUGUGGCAGUGGAGCAAGAGAAUUGAAGCAAGGCUAACCAAUCUGAAGCACUGGGUAGCCUGAGCCUAUGGAACGGUGCCUGGUACAAGGAAGAAGAAGCCAUUGGAUACGUUUAGCCUAAGGAGGCUUAGACUGAAGCUCAAGGAGACACUGAAUGACCAGAAGAAUAGGGAACCAAAUAGGGUGCCCCUCGGCAGGCUGGACGAGAAUUCAGCGUCUAAAUCGCAGAAGAGAGAGCACAAUAGGGUGCCCCUUGGCAGGUUGUGAAACCAUUUUCGUGAAAUCUAAGAGCUCUGCUAUACAUGUGACGAACCAGGCCCAGAACAGCCGAGGCCACAUUUCUCUCUUGGUCAGUGCUGCUGCUACAAAAGAGUUGCCGCUGCAGCUGUGCGUCUCACCGCAAGUUGACUCACUUGGUCCACGUUGCUGCGCUGCACCCAGUCUGCGAUGCUGUGGCUGAUAAAGCAGACGGUAGGGCUGGACAUGUUUGUCAGUUUGACAACUAUCUAGGUGGGUUUGAGCAGGAAUUUUCAGGAAAGGAUUUCAUCUUCAAUCACUCCGGUGCACACAACGCUUUAUUGCCAGUGUCAGACAAGCGUACACACGAGAUGAGAUGAACACACCCAAGCAGCAAACGGCAGCGUGAGCAUAUAGAUGUUUCUGCUUGUUGAACUGAAUGGCAGUUAGUUUGCGGCGAUCUGUUUAGUGUCCAACAUCAGUGGCAUUGACCUUUUCCCCAUAUCGAGCAGAAGAGAAAAAGAAUGGGAGAAGGAGCCAUCUUAUCUUUACCUUACCGAGUGGAAGAGAAGUAAGAUUGUGACAGCCAUUGUUCUUUAUAAAACAGAUAUGCGAAGUACGUAAUUCCAAAGAUUCAAACCUCUUCACAUCUGUAAACUUAAGCUCAAGCUUGACCAGCUUGCACCGUUGUAGAUUUUCAUUUAUUAGUCAACACCUUGGCACCCUUCAAACUU